AUAGACAAAAUGGAUACACAAAACAUAGAGUGCAUGAUAAAGUCUACAUAAAAUCAUACAGUCCCCGUGCAUUUUUGAGAGAUACGAAAUUUGAAAUUUAUUUAUGGUAAAACAUAUAUCAUAUUACACGGUUACAUUAUGAAAUUAUAAAAUCAAUUAAAAAAUUAAUGUAAUCUUGAAUGGAUAGACAAAAUGGAUAC
rnacentral:lncRNA from 1 species